UGGUCACAUCACAUUGAAAUACUGGUUCCUGUAUGAUCACCAAAGUUAAGCAACAUCAAGCCUGGUCAGCACAUUGAUGGGUGACCACUUUGGAAUACCAGGUGCUGUAAG